CGUCGCGGUGGGCCACGACGUUUGGUGUAAGUACUCCGGAAGCGAAAGAACCACGCCAGACCCCUCCAGCCUCCCGCGGGGUGCGUGUCGCUCACACGGGUGAACUACGCCAACCGGGCUGGCUCGCACGGGGGUUGUCGGGCAUAUGCUCGCCGCGACAACCCCAGACAUGCGUCGGCCCCCGACGGGACUCGCAAUCCCGGCGGGGGCCUACCAACAAGGAAGUAGCGCUUCCCG
rnacentral:ncRNA from 1 species